CCUGCCGGGACCCCCAGCGGCCCAGCGCAGCGCCGAACCCCAGCGUGGAGGCAGCUCCACCGCCUCGGCCGGAUUCCGUGAAAUUCUAACGCCAGGAAACAGCCUGCGCCGGCUCCGCGGCGUGGGGCCCCGAACCCCGAACCGAACCCCGAGCUGGAGCCGGUCCCGCCUGGGCUUCGCGUCUCAGGCAGGUUUGGGUUUCCAGUUCGUCGUUUUCUUUCUUUGAACACAUCUAGUAGUUUGGCGUGCCGCUUCUUGCCUCUUCUCUCAGUGACUCCGAGGUUGCUCCAGUGCUGCCUCCUUUCCACGAUGGCCUUCCACCCUGGGGAUCGAAGGCCGGAAAUUUAGGAGCUUUUUGAUGGACGUUCCAGGGGCUUCUAGCCUUUUUUUGUGAGUAGUUAUAAAGGUUUUUGAAAAAUGGGAAAAUGGGAGUAGGCAGCCUUUCCUGUCCGUUGUUUUCGGAGGUGCCCCCUUGUCGCCAGAGCCGGGCAGCAGAGCCUGGCUCUGCUGAGCUCCAAUGACUUUGUCCUUCAUCAGUCUGGAGGAAAGCAUUAUCUUAAGUCUUUGGCCCCUGCUUCCACUUGUCCAUUCUAGAAUCUACUGUUCAGGUGGAAUUCCUUCUAGAGCAAUGUUAUAAAUUAUAGCUUUGGGCUUCUGGUGUCACUGUUUUCUAGCUCACUGUUUUCUAGUAUUCUGAAAAGAGGUUUGGCACUGUCAGAGCUCUGACUCCUGAAUUCAGGGCCAAGGAGACAACAUGACUUGAGGAGAGACAGCAGCAGGUGUUUGGAAGCAGUUAGUCUCUGGACUACGGAUGGGAGGGGAGAAACAGGGCUGAGGCUAGGACGAUGGAUUAAGGAAUUUGUUCUCUAUCAAGCUGAGGAUUUGUAUUUUGGAGAAAUCAUACAGAUACGUUUUUCAGCUGGUGGUGGGGAGAGGAGGUAGUGGCGAAUUGUGCUUUAGAAAAGUUAAUCUGAACAUUUUAAAGCUGAGUCACACACAAAUUGUGACACUAGUGAUGGAACUUCAUUUCCUUCCCCGAGCAUGGUCUGGACGUAGCGACUUGCUUCCAUGGAAUAGAAUACAGCAGAAGUGACAGGCCAGCACAUCUAAGGGUGGGUUCUAAAAAGACCAGUAGUUUCCACCUCAAGUACUCCCUUCCUCCCUCUUACUGAGGCGGUCUGCCAGCCACCUUUGGACGAGCUUGACAGGGGAGCCUUCCUCAGCGGAACCCUGAGAUGCCUGUGGACCCAUGAGACCUGAGCAAGAAUCAUCAGGCUGCACUGUGCCCAGAUUCCUACCCCACAAAAACUAUUAAGGCCUGUCCAAGAAGAAAGGAGUAGAAGAUCAGAAAAAUGUCCAAUGAAAGAAUCUUUAAGAACAGAAAUGUAAAUUAGAGGGUAUCACUAUUGCUGAUCAGAUAUUAUCAAGAUAAAAAAAGUCCCCAAACAAACAAAAAUCCAUUUAUCUGAAAACUCACUGUUAUUUCGACUUCCUCAAUACAGGUAUGAAUAUGAAGCACCGCAUUAUAACCCGGGCAGAUGAUGGAUUUGUGCUCUAUAAUCACUAUCUGUCAAACAAAAAAAUUCACAUCUUCAUUCCUGAUGUAAAAAAGAAUCAAAUGCUCUGAAGUGCCAAAUAGUAGCAUAAGAAUAUGUAACUCACAUUCUCAGUGCCUCAUUUUUGUGUUAGCAGUGAUAGGUCAGUUACCUAACCUCUAAGCCUGAGCUGUGAUUUCCUUGCCCAGCAUUCAGUCACACUUUAAAAACACUUUCUCUCUGGGAAGCCUUUCCUUUUUACCCCAAGGAAUUACAUUAAUCACUUGCUUACAUGCUACUGUUUGUUUUUUCUAGAUGUAAACUUCUAAUAGUUUUAUCCAUUUCUCAAUAGCUAAGGUUCAGUAAGAGUGAACAACCAUGUAUCCAACAUCAGAUUCUAACUUGAUCAGUCAGUGGUAAUCCCUUGUAAAAGAACUCAAAAAUUCUGUGGCCUACACCAAUUAUCUAUUGUCAUUCUGGAGAUCAGGAUGCUUGUAAUAUGGAAAAAGUGCCUUUUUUCCUGUCUGGAAAUAGACAAUCCAUGAUUUUCAAGGCAACUGUGCUCUACAUAAAAUGAAAGACACUUGAGUGAAAUGAUAUACAUACGUGUGUUUAUAAAUAUCAACAGGAAACAAAAAAUUAAAAGGAAUCUAUAAAAGAACCCUACCUAGCCAGUAAGAACUUACUACCUUGAAGACCUGUGUGUACACAAUGAAAGUGUUUAUUCUAUUUCAGUUUCCCUUCGACAACAGAAUAACAUGUUACCAAUAAUCAGAACAAAGGACAUUUAAAUUCUCAUUUAUCUAGAAAAAGACUACUAAGACAACUACAGUAACUGGUUUACCUGUGCAUCAAAUGUGCGUCCAGAAUGACAAAGAUUAUUAGGAUCACAAAGUAUGAAUCCUGGAAGAAUCUCCUCCUCUUCAAUUCCUUUCAGUCUGAUUUUGAGAUUUUCACCUGGGGCUACAGAAUCAGUUUCUACAUCAUCAGAAAGGAUUCCAAGGACUUCCACAUUGUGCUUAAAAAGAAACCAAGAUUGGAGGUUUUCUGACACUGCACUACAAAACAUAGUAUGACCGCGACUAUUCACUAAAGACUUGGCAAGUCACAUAUUCCUGUGUUUUUGACUAGCCAAAACACGUAUUUGACUAUAAAGCUUUAUCACAUUUGUAUGAUAUGAACUUAAUGAAAAUUGUAUCUGAGAAGUGUCAGUUAAACUUGGUCAUCUUUUAACUAUUACUUCCUUAUAGUUUUUAAAUACAACACAGUAUAGGCCUUCCCUGGGGGCGCAAAAGGUUAAGUCUCAGCAUAUGAAGCUAUAAGCAGCCUCUGCAGCAUGAGUUUGAUCUCUGACCAGAAAGCUACCCACAUGGUAUAGUAGACCUCUUCUGUCUCGCCCGCUGCUCCCCUCAGCAGUGUAUUUCAGUCAUUCUGCCUGUUCUGCUCCCUACACUGUCUCUGGUGAAUCCCUUCACCCUCCCCCUUUCUACCUAAACCCCAAAUCUUAUAUGCAUAAAGUAAAUCUUUUAGAAAUUAAAAGACAGCACAGUGUUUUGUUUUUAUUUUUCAAGUUAAAAGUAUUAAACUAGGGCUUCCCCUGCUUACAUGCUACUGUUUGUUUUUUCUAGAUGUAAACUUCUAAUAGUUUUAUCCAUUUCUCAAUGGAUAAAAGCGGUGGAUUGCAAAGCUGCCCGCAGCCUCUGCAGCACCAGUUCAAUCCCCGGCUGCUCCCUGGCCACCGGAGGAGGGUCCCACAUGGAGGAGGGUCCCACAUGGCAUGCAGACCCCUCCUGCCGCCCGCUGCUUCCCUCAGCAGUGCACCUCAGUCCUUCUGGCUGCUCUGCUCCCCGCUCUGGCUCUGGUGAAUUCUCACCCUCCCGCGCUUCUGACUGUACCCAGUGCUUAUAUAAAUAAAUAAAUAAAUCUUUAAAAAAAAGAAAAAAGGUAUUAAACUAAACAUUUGGAUUUUAUCUUGUGGAUGUAAUUUUAUUAUUCUGGAACUCCAAGACUUAACAGACUCAAUUUUCACAUCUUAGCAAUCCUCAAAUACCUGAAGAGUGUACUUAAGUUAUUUGAAUAAUUAAGUUUAAAGAGCAUACUGACUAUAAUAGGUACAAAGUUUCCUUUUGUCAUGAAAAUGUUCUGAAACUAGAUAGUGGUGAUGGCUGCACAAUACUGUGACUGUACUAAACAUCACUAAUGGUGUACUUCACACAAUAAUUAUGUAUUAAGUAUACUGAUGGGGAAAAUUGCUUAAAGCUAUACCCACAAGUUUUCCCUUAUUCCAUUCCUGCCCCUGGGGAUAAUUCAGAUAAUCAAAAUAAUUAUCAGAAAACAAAACAACAGUCUUCAAGUAGAUAAAAGGUAGAACCUAAAUUCUAUUCCAUACCAGAAUUCUAUAAACUGUCACUUGCUAAGCUAUCCCCCCACCAACUGGUUCUCUUUCCCAAAAGGCAGCUUAUGCCUUCAUGAUUCCUAUCUGUUGAAAUUCAUUCCAAGAACUGAAACCAAGCCAUAAAUUUUAAAUUCUUUAUGGCAAUGGGGUAGGAACUGACAAUUUACCAUAUACAAACUGAACAAGUAUUGCUCACUACCUUCUGUCCUACUAUCCCUUUUUCUGGUUCAACACAAAUAAGACCUUUUAUUGUUCAACACAGCAGAUGUAGUCUAAAGGUCCACAGUCAUCAAAAAUUAAGAUUGAGACAGACAUUAUGUUCGUUGAAAGGUUUUCAAGAUCGCAAUUAACUUCCAAUCCAAUAAACACCUCUAUCUGAGAGCUGUGAGGCUACAUUUAAGACAUUUGGUGAGGAGUGGGUAGCACUUGUAAAGGAAAGCUGCAGCUGUCUUCACAGUUCUCAUCUUGUCUUGACAGGACCCUGGCGCAGUUCAAACAGUUCUGGACACAAGUCUAGGAUUUGUGUGAUACAAGUUGCAAUCUUAAGUGUCCACGUUCCUAGUAACAUGAUCUUUAGUUUUACACUCACGUACCAGACAGAUCCCGAGUAUCUUAACCUCUCAGAAAUGGGCCACAAAAAAACAGGAUGAAAAGCCACCUUCAAUGAAAUACAUGCAGGUUCAAUUAUCUCCACUUCCCUAUUUCCAUAUGCAAACUCAACACCAUUGAUUUUGUAAAUAACAAUAUUCAGACAUUUCAUCACACACUCAAGAGUUUCUGAUCUUCCUAUAUGGCUUCUUUUGCUUUACCUUUUGCUGCAGCCCAGCUUAGGAGGUGAAUCAGAGGCUUCAAAGGACUUAAGAACAAAGAGUUUUCAAGCCACCAAUCUAGUCAAAUUUACAUAUUAAUCUGCACCACAAAACAAUUUCAAGGAUUAAAGUAUCAAUUUGUAAUUCUCAUUAAAAAAACCUUUAUAAUAUUGCAGCCAAAUGUAGAACAUAAAAAUUUUCAUCUUCACCUUUUUAUUUUUAAAGAUUUAUUUAUUUAUACAAGCAUUGGGUACAGUCAGAAGCGUGGGAGGGUGAGAGGAUUCACCAGAGCCAGAGCUGGUAACAGAACAGGCAGACUGAUGAAAUACACUGCUGAGGGGAGCAGCAGGCAGCAAGAGAGGUCUGCGCGCCAUGUGGGCCCCUUGCCCAGUGGCUGGGGAUCGAACCAGAGCUGCAGAGGCUGCGCGCAGCUUUGCAACCCAGCAUUCAACCGCUGCACCAGGGGGGAGGCCCAUCUUAACCUUUUAAAAAUGUUAGUUCCAUCGUAUCAAAUACAUUCAUACUGUAAUGCAAGCAAUGCUCAAAAUUCCAAAUUCAUCUCACAAAGUGAAACUAUCCAUUAAACAACCUAACUCCCCAUUCUCCCUCCACCAACUGUGGGGACCAUUCACCGUCUCCAUGAAAUUGGACUACACUAGGUACCACAAAUAAGUAGGAUCUUAGGGUAUCUGUCCUUCUAUGACUGUAUCUCAGCAUAAUUUCCUCAAGGUUCAUGUUAUUCAUCCAUUCAUCUGCAGGACACCUGGCUUGCUUCCACCUUUUGUCUGUGGUGGAUAGUGCUGAUAUAAGGGUUUACAAUCAUCUCUUAAAGACUGUUUUCCACUCUUUUUAAGUAUAUACCCAACCUACAAGUAGAAUUGCUGGGUCAUACGGUUAUUCUGGUUUUUUUUUUUUUUUUUUCAUUUUUUGAGGCUGUUUUUAUCUUUUCUACAACAGCUGUACAAUUUUGCAUUCCUGCCAUCACCACAGCCAAUUUCGCCAUAUCCCCACUAACUUUUGCUAUUACUUGUUUUUUUGCUGGUAGUCAUCCUUACAGGUUUAAUGUCAUCUCAUUGGUUUUGAUUUGCAUUUUUCCUAAUGAUUACCUUUUCUAACUAUAUCUUUUAAUGCUCAACAUCUUUUCAUGUACUUGUGGCCAUCUGUACAUCAUUUGUAUAAGUUUUUGUUGAA